rnacentral:rRNA from 1 species
GACGUAGGGUGCGAGCGUUGUCCGGAUUUAUUGGGCGUAAAGAGCUCGUAGGCGGCUCGUCGCGUCGACCGUGAAAACCCGCGGCUUAACUGCGGGCUUGCGGUUGAUACGGGCGGGCUAGAGUUCGGUAGGGGAGACUGGAAUUCCUGGUGUAGCGGUGAAAUGCGCAGAUAUCAGGAGGAACACCGGUGGCGAAGGCGGGUCUCUGGGCCGAUACUGACGCUGAGGAGCGAAAGCAUGGGGAGCAAACAGG